rnacentral:snoRNA from 1 species
AAUAUUCGAAUUGCUGAAUACUCGAAUAUUAAAUCGAGUAUCAUGAUUCGUCUAUUUGAAUAGGAAGAUCUGAUGC